ACUGGCAACGUUAGAGAUCAGUGUUGUGUUUUGAAAUUUUUUUACACGAGCGAGCACUAAGUUUACUUGUCGGAGAGCAGCGGGCAAACAACAAACGAUAAAGGACAUUCCUACUUGGUCUUUGAACACACUCAGAAGAAUUGGAGAAACUGAGGAGGAGUUUCAACAUCUGGAAAAGAUCCGGGCAGCAAUGGUAAAAAAA